AUACGGAGGGUGCGAGCGUUACUCGGAGUCACUGGGCGUAAAGCGUCCGUAGGCGGUCGGGUAAGUCGGGUGUGAAAGCCCCGGGCUCAACCUGGGAAGUGCACCCGAUACUGCUCGACUCGAGUGCGGGAGAGGAUGGCGGAAUUCCCGGUGUAGAGGUGAAAUGCGUAGAGAUCGGGAGGAACACCAGUGGCGAAGGCGGCCAUCUGGCCCGCAACUGACGCUGAGGGACGAAAGCGUGGGGAGCAAACAGGAUUAGAAACCCUAGUAGUCC
rnacentral:rRNA from 1 species